AGGGGAGGGAAGGAAGAAGUGCCGGUUCCUCGGCUCCGCCCUCGCGGACCGAUUCCUAGACUUGCUCACUCCCUGUAAACAAGACUGAACUGGUCUCGUGCCCUGUCGUUUUUCCUCUCCGCCGCCUUCUUCGUCCUACGAACGUACAGAGGAGCCGGCAAAAAAAAGCUGAGCUGUUGGAGACGGGAGGGAGGAGUCUUUAGCACUGGGGUGGAAGAAAGGAAGACGUUUUCUGUGUGCUAAGGGAGGUCAAAAGUGCACGGACUCAUUUUCCUUGGAGAAGCGGAAGGGCACAUCAUCAGCUUCACGGUGACGUAAGCGCUCUCCACUCGCUGGCAGAGGCAUGCGGUGGCCGGAGAGUGCGCUGCGCAUGCGCCCCGGGGAAGAAAGAAGCGGCUGAGAGCUCCGCUUGGGGGGUGGGGUUUUGUCUGGAUGCUCUUCUGGACGACCCCAGAGCCACCUGAUUUUAUCCAACCUAAUAGGUCUCUAGAGCUUGUAAGAAGGGUUUAUUGGGAAGGGGCUGGUACUCUGUUGUGUAAGAUCUUGCAUUCUUUGUUGACCUCGCAAAAAAGUGUCUGACAAUUACGUAUAAGUAGAAUUGCGGUUUUUCUCUGUGGCGCAUAGUGGAUGGAGGUAGAUUCUCAAGGGCUUUAGAAAUCUGGCAAUUCGGAGGUUCAUAUCCAUAAGCACCUUCUUGGGUGCUAAAGUCGUCUUUUACAACCGUAAAUUAUACUCCUGAUGGUGGGGAACCUUCUUGGUAAUGCGCCAAGGGAAUUCUAUACACUUAACCAACACAUCUGAGUAUUUGAGUAGGUUUUAUUACCAGGUCUUUAAUGAGUGUGUGGGGACAUAUAAAUGUGUUUUAUUUGAGGUUCUUUUAUUCACCUAUGAUAAUUUUGGGCUCAUCUUUUAGUUGCUGCAAUUAUAGAAAGAAUAUGUGAAAUUACAGAAAGGAAAAAAAAGCCCUCAAAGUCAACUAUUUACAGGAGUAGCUCCUAUUUUUUAUAGGCCUAUUUUACCAGUCAUUGACAAAAAUUAUAUUGAGCAUAUUCAGCACUUAGACUCAGUGCUAAGGUCUAGCAAACUGGAAGUAACCAAGACAGAAAUAGCUCCUGCCUUCAUGGAGUGUACAAUCCAAACAGGAUAAACAUUAAUCUGAUUAUCACUAUCUAAAAUUACUCAGUACAUUUUUACCCAAAGAUUACAAAACACUAAUUUGAAGGGAUAUAUGCACCCAUGUGUUUAUUGCAGCAUUAUUUACAAUAGCCAAACUGGAAGCAGCCCACCUGUCCAUUGAUAGGUGAGUGGGUAAAGAAGAUGUAGUGUAUAUAUAUAUAUAUAUAUAUAUAUAUAUAUAUAUACACACAUAUAUAUGUAUACACAAUGGAGUAUUAUGCAGCCAUAAAAAAUGAACUUGCCAUUUACAACAACAUAGUUGGAUUUACGGAGUAUAAUGCUAAGUGAAAUAAGCUAAGCAGAGAAAGACAUAUAUCCCUCGUGUGGUAUUUAAGAUACUAAACAGCUAACAAAAAAAGACAAACAAAAAACAGACUCAGCUAUAAGAACAAACAAAUGAGUUACCAGAGGGAGGUGGGGAGGGGGGAUGGGGGAAAUAGGUGAAGGGGAUUAAUAGUACACUUAACUGGGUGAGCACUGAGUAAUACAUAGAAUUGUUGAAUAUAUUAUACACCAGAAACUGAUAUAACACUGUAUGUUAACUACACUGGAAUAAAAUAAAAUGAAAUGAAGAAUAAAAUUACCCAGUAUAUUGAGUUGUAUACAUGUAGAUGUAUUCCCACCCUAAAAUACAAGAUCUAGGAUGACAGGGAUCUUGCAUAUUUUGUUUCAUCCUGUGUCCCUGUCCCUUUAAUAACAUCUCAAUAUUUGAUUACUAAAAAAUUACCAGAUUCAAAAGUAUUAAGAUGGAAAAUUGCAGACUGCAAUGGAAACACUUAACCUUAGCCUAGUUAGGGAUAUCAGAGAAGGUUUCUCUGAGGAAGUGACAUUUAAGAUGAGACUUCAAACCACUAGGCAAAGAAGUGGGGAAAAAGUGAUACAGGCAGAUGAAACAACACGUACAAAGGGUCUGAAGCUGAGAUGUUCUAAAAAUCUCUGAAAGGUAGUAUAUAUAGCUGUCUUGAGAAUUGAGGGGGAGAGAACUGAGGACCACAGGUCCAUAGGACAGAGCAGAGAAUGGGAAGCCCAGGAAGGAUUUUAAGUGGGUUGUAUCCUGCUUUUUUUUCACUUCAUGUGGCCUUUUCCCAUAUUACUAUGUGGUUUUCCUUCUACAUGGCAAACAUUUUUCUGCAGAAUACUUUUGAGAGUGUAACACUUCUGCAUAAUACCUUUAAGAGCGCAGCAUAAUUACAUUGUUGGACCAUGAUUUUCACUCCUGUAAGAAUCAUUAUAAAUUUUACUUCUAGAUCUGUAGCCAGGAAAAAUGAGAACAUGCCCAAGCAAAAACUUGUUCAUGGGGAGCACCUGGCAGGCUCAGUCAAUAGGGCAUGCAACCCUUGAUCUCAGGGUUGUGAGUUCAAGCCCCACGUUGGAUGUGGAGAUUACUAUAAAAAUAAAAUUUUUAAUUAAAAAAACACCUGUCCAUGAAUAUUCAUAACAGUAUUAUUCAUAAUAGCCAAAAAAGUAAAAUAUCACAAAUGUCCACCAACUGAUAAAUGUAUAGAUUAAACGUGGUACAUCUAAACAAUGGGAUAUUUGGCCAUAAAAAAGGAGGUACUGAUAUAUGAUGUAACAUGGAUAAUCCUUGAAAACAUAUGUUGUCUUUUGUGCCUGGUUUCUUUCACUUAGUGUAAUGACUCCAUUUAUAUGAAAUGUCCAGAAUAGGAAAAUCUAUAGAGGCAUAAAGGAUUAGUGUUGCUUAGCACUGGUUGCAAAGAUGGAAUUGGGAGACGAUAGCCAAAGGAUGUUGGGUUUCCUUUUGAGGCAAAUGUUCUAAAAAUUGAUUGUGAUGAUGGUUGCACAACUCCAAAUAUACUUAAAACUAUUGAAUUGUACAUUUAAUUGAAUGGAGUGAAAUGUGAAUUAUGUAUCAAUAAGGCAGUUGUCAAAAAAAAAUGAAAGCAACAAAAAGAAUCCAAUUAACAUCUUCAUUUGUGACCUUUUUUGGGUUAUUACUGGGUCCAAUAGUACUUACAGCUUCAUGGCUUUUGAUGAAUACCAGUUUGCCAGGCCAUUUGGCAGAGGGGUUAAACCAAUUAAAAUGUAACUGGGAACAUUUAAGAGCUUCUACUUCAUUAUGUACUUAACCCUUUUGAACUUUAUGUUUAUUAAAACUGUCUUACUGUCUGUCAGAGUGCCAGUGACAAUUUAAUCUACAAUACUAUAAACGGAAUUUCAAGUAAUUAAUAGGUGGUAAGAACAAGUUUCAGUUGUCCCAACAAAAACUAUCAACUUUCUUCUACCCUGUUCACCCAUAAGACCUUGCAAUCAACAUCUCUAUUUUCUUAAUAAUUGUGAAAUUGCUUUUACAAUGAGUAUAGUUGUAAAAAAGGAAAGCCUUCGAAGUUCCCUUAGAAAAGAAAUAAGGCAUAUGAAGUAAAUAUAUUAAUAUCUAUGUAUUGGCAAGAAAUUCAUCGUUUUUCAUUUUUUUCAGUCUUUUUAGAAAUGUUUCCCUUUUGUCCUAAUAGUAAAAAUAAAUAUCUUUCCAUAUGGCACUUGAAAAUAAUGAUAACUAAAAUACAUUGAUUACUUACUAUGUACAGGCAGUGCACUCAUGUUGCAUUCUCUCAUUUUUAUUCCCACAGCACUCCUCCUCCUCGAUAGUAGGUAUUUUUUGUUGUCCCCAUUUUACAGAAGAUAAGAAGGUAAAGUAAAUCUGCAGGCGUGAAGAGGCAUAGCCAGGAUUCAGACCUAGGAUGUCUAACUCUGGAGCCUGGUGUGCUUCCAAUUACUACCCUUUCCUGCCUCACCCUGUGGAUAUUUCUGGCCUACAUUAACUCUUUGAACAAAAAUACUAACCCUCUGGUUAUUUUUGUCUUGCCUUUAAUCUUAGAACACAUAAUUUUUUUUUAAGUUUUUAGUUAGCAGUUUAUAUUUGUAUUUCUAGAGAGUUGAUUUCUGCUUAAAAAGGUGUUAUUAAAUUUUCUUAGACCUGUUUUAGUUCAUGACUGGAAUAUUGAAUCUUGAAAUAAUAAACCUGCCUUGCUCCAAAUGCAGAGUGGUAGAGUAGGGAAACACCUGAGAAACAGUGUUACUGUCAUAAGAAAGGCUCUGUUCGGAAAUGCAAAAUAGUGUAAAGUGAGACAACUGAAGGGAAUCAAGUUGAUGAGCAGAAAAUGGUUUGCCAUCCUUAAUCUUUAAAGAAAAAUAAUUAGAAGUACACGGCUUACAUUUUUAUGAGUAUAGAAGACAGGCUAUUAAAUCUUUAAUGACAGAAAUUUCUGGUCUCCUUUGUCUUAAAUGAAACUUUUAGGAUAAUGUUCCCAGCAGAAGAUUUAUGAAGGUACUGUCUUGAAGGAGAAAUACUGAGGCCUACAGGAACCAAGGAAAUGAUUUAUUUCCACUAUAACCACUUAUCUUUAGCAUCUGCUUACACUUAAGGAUCCUUUUUACAGCUUCCAAAAUAUGUUUUCAUUAAUCACUAUGGUGACAGAAUGUAAGAGGAAUAAACCUCCCAAAUAGACAUCAAGAGAAAUCAAAUAAUAUAAAGACCUCCUACUUACUAGUAAGUGGGGAGAAAGGGCUCAGACAAAACAAGUCGAAAAUUCAAAAAUAGGAAGCCACAAGCUGCUUUCCAGACUGACCAACUCUGAAGGCAAGCUGGCUUUAGUUUAGGUUUUUCAUAUUCAGGUGCUUAUUUAGAAAGACGUCACCCAAAGGGAUCAUUGGUUGCAUGCUUCAUUAAGAAGGGCCUCAGAAGUCAAACAGCAGUCACCUAUUUUAAAUUUGUAAGUCAAAGAGUCUUCAGUAGAAAUAUUCUUUUGUUGUUCUUGUUGGAACAAAAAUAUACCAUUCAAAUGCCACCACUUAUUCACAAACUGUUUUGAAUCUUGAACGACCAAAUUUAGUAACUUCAGGGAAAAAAAUCUUUUUAAACAUAUCUAAUAUAAUCAAACUACCAAUACAUAUUGUUUCUUGUCAAACAUCUAUGGGGGAUGUAUGGACAGAGAGGUAAAUGUCUUCCAAAGUUUUAGUCUCAUCACAACAUAUGUUUACUGCAACCCUUCUUCUUAUAAGUAAAGGAAAAGAACUAUUUGGGGAAUCAAUUGAAAUUAUCCACAAUCAGGGUUUCCAAAACUUCUUUCUCACAUAGCUAAGCUACUUUUAUUACCAGACGGUGAUUUAGUAAAUACUGAGUCCCAGUCGCAUAUUGGGCUAGGCACUGUAUGGAAGGUGAGUCAUACAUGGUCCUGUUUGUAAGAAACGUAUUCAUUCAUUCUGUAAUUCAGCAACAUUUACUAGCUGUGUGCCUGUGAGCAAGUUAAUCAGCUUCUCUAUAACUUGACCUCAGUUUCAUCAUCUGUAAAAUGAGGGUAAUAAUAUGUCUCAUAGGUUUUUAUGAGGAUUAAACGGGAAAAUAUUUGCAAAGACUUAGAUCAACGUAUGACACUGGAGACACUAACAGGCUAACUAUUGUAAGAGUCCUUUAUGUGCCAGGCUUGAGUGUGAUUUUUUUUUUUUUUUUACACUUAAUGCAGUUAAGAUGGCCACCCUCAAGCAGCUCUCAGCCAUGCAAGUGAGACAAUUGCAUUAACGGACAUUAUUCAUAUAACAUGAAAAGUUUUAUAAUAGUUUUAUGCAGAAUGCUAUGGGUAAACAGAAGAGAAAUUCUGUUGAUCAGGGGUGCUUUUAUAAACUUGAAUGUGGCAUUAUUUGCUGUGUAUCAAAUUUAUAUUUACAAAAUAACAGCCGUAUAAAACAAGUAUUUAGGGUCUUACACAGUCUUGGAGGCUCAAGAUCCAGGAGUAUCUUAGCUGGGUAGUUCUAAUUCAGGGUUUCCAAUGAGACUACAGGGAAGUUGUUGGCUGGAGCUGAUGCCAUGAGGGGCCUGGAGAAUCUGCUUGCAAGUUCAUCGUGUGGCUGUAGUCAGGAGGCUUCAGUUCCUUGCCACUGGGCCUCUCCAAAGGGCUGUUCAUGUCGGCUCCCUCAUACAAGUAAUGAGAGAGACAGAGGCAAACAGAAACAGAGAAUCAGAAUACCAAGGUGGAAGCUGCAGUCAUCUUAUAACCUAAACUGGGAAAUGAUGUACUGUCACUUCUGCCAUAUACUUCUACUAGUUAGAAGCAACUCACUAAAACCAGGCCAUACUUAAGGAGAAGGGAAUUAAACUUGAAGAGCAUCAAAGAAUUUGUGAACAUAUUUUUAGAACCAUCACAGGUAUGGAAAGAAGAGUAAGGUUUAGCUCAGUAGACAGGAACAAACUUAUGACAGGCAAGGGAAGAACAGAAACAAAAGAGUACAGAAUUAAGGGAGUUAUUGUUAUUCCCAUUUUAAAGAUGAGGAAACAGGCUUAGAAAGGUAAAGUAACUUUCCCAUCAUGUGUUAAACGGUAAGUGGCAGAGCCAGAUUCUGAACCCUAUUUUUAGUUCUAGAAUCCAGAUCUUAUCACUACCUGUAUUAGGCAAGUUUCUUCAGAGAAACAGAACCAAAAGGAUGCAACUCCAUCUAUAUCUACAUUUAUCUCUAUAUGGAGAGAGAGAAAGGGGAAUUUAUUCCAAGGAAUUAGCUCCCAUGAUCAUGGAGGUUUGGUAAGUCCAAAAUCUGCAGAGUAGGCCGGUGGUCUAGAGACCCAGGAAAGAGUUGCAGUUCAAGUCCAAAUGCAGUCUGCUGGCAGAAUUCCUUCUUGUUCAGAAAAGUUCAGUCUUUGUUCUAGUAAGGCCUUCAACUGAUUAGAUGAUGCCCACCCAUGUUAUGGAGGGUAAUCUGCUUUAUUCGAAGUCCAAUUUAAAUGUUAAAUCUCAUCCAAAAAAACACCUUCACAGAAACAUCCAAGAUAAUUGUUGACCAAAUAUCUGGGGACUACAGCCUAGCCAAGAUGACAGAUAAAAUUAACCAUCAUAUUACCCUGUACAGUACAGACAAUUUGGGGUUCAGAUUGCAAAGGGCCCCAAAUGCCAUACUCAGCAGAUUGCUGAAUUUACAAAAAUUAACCAGUGGCUCUCUCAUGGCUUUCUGAUGUCUAACCACACAUGACUUUGAACAUCUGAUAUUGGUGGGGCAUUCCCAUAGAAUAUUGUAAUUCUAUUAGGGAAUGUAUAUUGGAAUAUUUGUCAUGCUUCAUCUUCAGUACUAUUUUGACAAGUGAAAAAUUUGGUUUUAUUGACAUUACACUUUUUCCUUUCAAUGAUUUCCUUUCCAAUCCACAUAGUUUUAGUAAUUAGCCUUUCCCAUAUUUCAAAUGUUUACUCAUUUCAAAACUAUUUUUCUCUAUUCUCCUCACUUGGACUUUUUUCUCUUAACUUUUUCUUUUGUUUUCGUGCCUUUUUUCAAGGAUUCCUUUUAAGCCAUGCCUCCUACCAGACUGAAAUGCAAAAUUAGGAAGAAAGACAAAAAUGUAGGUGGGAACUAAAGGACCCAGUUUGUAUACCAGCUGGACUUGGUGGUUCUAAAAGUAUAAAUAUUGUUCAAGCAUCUUUUCUUUGCAGAGGGUGCAUAAAAGAAAAGCUGUUUCAUCCUUGCUGCUGGAGAUAUUUUUCUUUGUAGCUAACAUCGAGCAGGAAAUUCUUUAUGUUUAUCUCGGAGCUUCAGAACUUGAAGUCAUAAUGGUUCCAGCCUAUUCUUUUGGCCCACUCCAUUCUGGGCCUUCGUCGAGAACAAGACACAUAUAGCGUGGGCAGGAGAGUCUUGUGAGGCCACUGGAAAGUGAUCUGAAUUACAAGUCUGUGGUUACAUCCUGCCAUAGCCGGAGAGAACAGGAAGCAAAGUCUGGACAACCAGCAGAGCCAAAGAUGCAACAAACUAGAAGGGAAACAGAGCUGGACUUGCAAAAUAAAUGGGGGCAGAGACCUGGUGGUAAAGCAUAAAAGAAGUUUCGAGAAGAGUAAACUUUGAUCUGUUUGAUAGACAUUGAAAGAAUUUCAUCUCUGUUCUCUGCCUGGUUGCCUUUGCACAGCUGCGCUGCUGGCUCUCUUCAGAUGUGUACUGACCUUGGCAUGACCUGUGGGGGUCACUGCCUCACAUUUUAUGCUUAGCCAACCAUCGCUGUCCUCAUUGCUGUUGUUGGAUUAGGUCCCUUGCAAGUCAGUAUCUAUGCUGUUCUAAGUAAAGAAAGAGUGAAGUGAACUGAGGGAUUCUCUCUUUGCUGGUGUUAUAAUCCUUUCAAUGAAUUUCUAAACGGUGUGGACUUGCUUUCCAUUUUUAUAGAGCUCACAGUGUCAAAUUUUAUGUUGACACAUUUUAGCUCUUAAUGCUCUGUUGUCGACUUAUGUGGCACUGGAUCAGGUAACAUUUAAUGUGACACUACCUAACUCCUGAAGUGUCUGUGUCUGGACACUUUAACUUGCAACUCUGCGGAGUGAGUUCCCUGCCCAUGUUAGGUAACCCCCAAAGAAAUUAGGGGGCAGCCUCUCUCUCACCUGAUCCUUUCCUAUAGAGACUACUGUGAGUUCCAAAGUAUUCUCUCUCUCUGACCCUCUCUCCAUCUCUCUUUCUCAAGAUCCAUUAGAGCCUUUGGUGGCCCUACUUUCUAUAAAGUGUGUAAGUAAAGCCCCCGAGUUAAACAUAACUCUCACUUUUUAAGAGAAAAAUUCACUUUCUGUUAACAAAGGAGUAGAAACAUAAAAUUCUUUUUAUAAUAGACUUAUAAUUACUUACUAAUAGAAUUAUUACUAUGAACAAUAAUAUGACUUUUCAUUUAAUAUUAUGGUUAGAUAAGAAAGAGAUAAGGAGAAACUGUUGUAGCUGAAGAUUAUAUAUGAAAUCAAUCUUUGUUAUUCAGUUUUGUAAGUUUUAUUUUUCUUAUCAGAAACUUUUUGUAUUUAGAUUGACCAUCUCCAUUCUUUAGAGUUAACUGGGUUUUUUUUAAACUGUUAUCCACUAUCAUUCAAUAGCUUUUUUUGGGUCAAGCCUCUUUUCUGAGUAGGACCCCCAGAGAAGCUGCUAGAAAGAAUUAUUUCCUGGGAUGAAAUAUCCUGGCCAGAGCAACAUCACUCCAUGUUGUAUUUGCCAGUAAGUUGAUGAGAUUAUACCUUUUCAUUACAGCCCCCCCCCUCUCCUUCUUUCAAGAGUAAGUAUUGUAAAAGAUACAUUUUAAGUAACUUCCAAAUUCUUUAAGAUGAAUGCAAUAAAUUCUUGAAGGCAUAUUUAAACAUAUCCUGGUACAUCGUAUGGUACAGACUGAGGCUAAUGUCAGUUGAUUUUGCAAGCUACAUUUACUAGUAAGAGCUGCAGUCAUAUGGGACUCCGUCUGACUCUGUAAAUAUUUAUUGAGUAUCAACUGUGUAUAAGGCCUUGGGCUGAGUUGAAACAUUAAGCUGAGCACAAGCUGACCACAAAAGCAGGAGAUAAUGUUACAAACACAAGUAUACUUAUUGGGAAAUAUGCAGUGAUCAUAAUUUUAAGGGAAAACUGAGAAUAGCUAUGCAAAUAUUUUGUGUAACUUUCCUAUGUAUUCUUAGAAAAUACUUAGAGUUUCUGCUGCUUUCCUAAAUAUUCUUUUUUUUUUUUUUUUAGUUUGUUUAUUUAAUUUCAAGUUAGUUCGCAGUGUAGUAUUGGUUUCAGGAGUAGAACCAGUGGUUCAUCACUUACAUAUAACACCCAGUGCUCAUCCCAACAAGAGCCCUCCUUAAUGCCCGUCACUCAUUUUGCCCACCUCCCCACCCCUCUAGCUAGCACUUCCCUAAGUAUUCUUAAAUAUUCUCUUUAUUCUAAGAUCCUGUUAAAAUCUUAGUGGAUCUGUUUCACCUCCCGGGGCUCUGUUUCUUGCCCCUGAUAUGGAUUUACUGUGCAGUGUUAUAUCUACCAUGUCUUCAAACAUGUUCUGUGCUCUUCCCUUAGAUUUAUGUCAGGUUCCAGUAAAUGGGGAGAGAAUCAUCUGAAAGGUCUGCACAAUGAUGGCCUUAUUUAGGCUACUGCCUAGGUUGUUGAAACAAAAGACUCAAAAAUAAAGAUACCAAAGUGGUGGCUCUAUAAUAUAGAGAAUCAACUCUGUCCGUCUUGUUGGUUUUCCAGCCUUAGAGAUUUGGCUUCAUUUUUGUGCCCCGAAAAGAGCUCACCAGCACAUCCUGAUUCCAAGCUCACUUUGAAGGAAAAAGAGUGAAGAAAACACCUGACCCAGAAGUUGCAUAUGUCAUUCUGCUUACAUUCCAUUUACUAUGCUGUCUUUAGCUAUAUUUAGAUGUAGCUUAAGCUGUCAUUAGUAUGGAAGACAAAGGAUGUUGAGAGGACAAUUAGCAAACUCUGCCACAUAUUAAUAUGAUCUGUAUCUCUUAAAAACAUUUUUUGGGAAAACAACCUAGCAGUUGGUGCUCUGGCGGAUACAUCACUUUCAUCCUAGUUCCCUUGAGGUUCUUACUAGUCUUUGGAGCAAAGGAGUGGAGGUAGUAAGAAAAAAGUAAAGAAAAAUCUCAGCCCACUGUGCAGCAGUAUCCCUUAAUGCUGACCGUCGCUGCAAAAAGUGUCACCUUUGCACCGUCACUGCACUGUCACAAAGGGCCAGCCCAUCAGGCUGAGCUUCAACACUCGAUGUGCAUCCCACAGGAAGCCCUGCAGUCUUGAGCACAUUCACAGGAUGUGUGCUUCCUUCCUAGUUAACUCUGAAAACUGUGGCUGAUAAGCUCAGAUAGUCUUGCUUAGGGAUCUCUGCCAAUGGCAGCAGAAACCCCCUCGACUUAACUCUCUCACCAUGUGUGGGAAGGUUAUUUAUUGAAGGGAUGCAGGGAAUAUCAGGGAAUCUAAUUUCAGAAGGUAGAGUCCUAUUUCACAGGAAGUAGCUGGCCAUCCAAAAACUACUUUUUCUCAUCUCUGCUCCUCUGGGUAUGUCCACUUGUUCCAUCUCCUCUACAUCCCCAUUUCUGAUCUUUCUAAAGCUUUGGAAGUUCACUCCCCUGUAAUUCUCCUCUGAGACUUUGAUUUGCCAUGGUAUCAUAUUUGCCCCAAUCCUCCAUGGCUGAGAGCUCCUCUGCACAAUUUGGCUAGUCUCAAUCUCUGUGUUCUCAUUCAACUUCUGACAUGAGAACAUCUAAUUGGCUCAGGCUGAAUCAGAUGUCUACCCCUGGUUCAAUCAGUUGUAGCCAGGAAAGCACAGUCACCUGAGACAAGCAUGACCAAAGGCAGAGUCUUUUAGAAUAGUCAUGGCCAAAGGCUAGAAGGCAGAUUCUCUUAGAAUAGGCUGUGAAUGGAAAUAUGACUGAUAUAUCUAGUACAGACAUAAUAUUUUUUUUAUGUUUUUAAUCCCAGUUCAAAUUGGGCUGAUCAGAGUUGGUCCUAGAAUAGUGUUAAACCUCUGGUUAGUUACAAAAUACCAUCUGACCAAAUACCAUAACUGGUACCGGGGUGAUCCCCCAAAAGGCACUAUAGGUCAUCUAUUCCCAUGACCAUAUAACUUUCCUCCCUUGCCUUCAUCCACUUUAUGCCCUAGAAUUGGCAGCUUCAGUCUCCUCUCAGGUGGCAUCAGUUUAUGAAAAUGUGGUGCAUUUUAUCACCAGGAUUUCUUCUUUAGUUUGGAUAAAUAAUAAUAGAUAGGAAGAAAUAAUAGAUUUCUUUAUCUCUUUUUGAAAUCUUUCAUGAUUUCCAUCAUUUCCUUUGAAUUACAUGAUCUGUGAGUAGCAUUGAUAAAUGUCCUUGGCAUUGGUCUUGGCAAUGAUUUUUUGGAUUUGACACCAAAAUCAAAGGAAACAAAAGCAAAACUUAACAGGAGGGACCACAUCAAACUAAAAAUCUGCACAGCAAAGGAAACAAUCAACAAAAUGAAACGGCAACCCACAGAAUAGAAGAAAAUGUUUACAAAACACACAUCCAAUAAGGGGGUAAUAUCCAAAAUAUACAAGGAACUCAGUUACAUAGCAAAACAAAAAUGGAAACAAAAGAACAACAACAACAAAACAGAAACAAAGAAACAAAAACAAAAAACAAAACACAUAAAAAAAUGGGCAAAAGACCCAAAGAAGACAUAACAAAUGGCCAACAUCUGAAAAGAUACUCAAUAUCAUUAAUCAUCCCGGAAAUACAAAUCAAAACCACAAUGAGAUAUCACCUCACACCUGUUAGGAUCUCUAUUACCAAAAAGACUUGUCUUUACUGACCUCUCCCCAUUUCCCUCAUUGCUAGUGAGAUAUGGAGGAAAAGGGAAUCCUUGAGCACUGUUGGUAGGAUGUAAACUGAUGCAGCCACUGUGGAAAGCAAUAUGGAGUUUCCCUCAAAAAAUUAAAAAUAUAACUAACAUGUGGCCCAGUAAUCCCACUUUUGGGUAUGUAUAUUCAAAGGAAAUGUAAUCAUUGUCUUGAAGAGAUAUAUGCACUCCCAUGCUCAUUGCAACAUUAUUCACAAUAGCUGAAGUAUGGAUAAACCUAAGUUUCCAUCAGCAGGUGAUAAGAGAUAUCUGUAUAUCUAUGUCUAUGUCUAUAUAUCUAUAUCCAUAUCUCUAAAUCUACAAUGGAAUAUUAUUUGGUCUUUAAAAAAAAAAAAAAGCAAAUCUUGCCAUUUGUAAUAACAUUGGUGGGCCGGGAGGGCAUUGUGCUGAGUGAAAUAAGUGAGAUAAAGACAAAUACUGCACGGUAUCACUUAUGUGUGGAACUAAAGGAAAAAAAUCAAACCCAUAUAAACAGAGAGCAGGAUGGUGGUUGCCAGGAGGGUAGGGGGCGUGGACACAGGUGGGUAAAGAACACAAGCCUUCAGUUAUAAGAUGAAUAAGGUCUGAGGAUGUAAAGUAUAACCUGGUCCCUAUAGCUGUUAAAUUGUAUUGUACAAUUGAAACUUGCCGAGAGUAGAAGUGUUCUCACCAAAGCGGGAGGGGCGGGGGGGAAGAAGGUAAAUAUGUGAGGUGAUAGAUGUGUUAAUAAUGUCAAAUGUGGGAAUCCUUUCACAAUGUAUACACAUAUCAAAUCACUUUAUAUACUUUAAAUAUAUUACAAUUUUAUUUGUCAAUUAUAGCUCAGUCAAGCUGAGUAAGCACACAUGUGUAAAAGAUGUUUGUAAGAGUGCUACUUGUUGGCUACUUUGAGAGAAAAACCAGAUUCUUGGGUCAGGUCUGGACUACUGAAUCUGAACUUCUGAGAUGAAGUCCUGAAUCUGCAUUUUAACUCCUGCACCCUCAAGUAAAUCAGAAUGUCUCAAGAGGAUCCUUGGGACACAGAAAGCAUGUUGUGCCUGAUGAAUGCAACCUGUGUGUGAGCCUGCUUCAGAAACUGUCAUUGGACAAUACCAUAGCUCUCUGCUUCCUGGAGAGGUUCCUGCAGGAGUUUUAAAGUUGUUACAUGAUGUGCAACUUUAUUAAUUUUAGUUGCAAAUGUGAGCGCAUACACAAUGCGCUAUUUAAAACACUAAUUUAAACACUACAGUGAGUGGGGUUGUGUUCAGUUGGGCCCUUGCAGUUUACUAUAGUGUUGUAAAGAUAAAGUCUCAACUCUUAAACUAAGAUCUCCAGAUGUGAUGCCUAUUCCUGCACAGCCUCUUUUGGGCAGUACCCAUAUAUUUACCACUACCACUUUUAAAGUUGGUUACCAAUAGAAUUUUGAGGUCAUGGAUCUAGAGUACCGUAAUCUGAUUUGUUGUCCUCAGACCUAGAAACUGGAGCAAGUGAUAGCCUCCAUUUGGAGCAAGGUUUCUCAAUCUUGGCAAUAUUGAUGCGUUAGGCUGAGGAAUUCUUUGUUGAAAGAGUUGUCUUGUGCAUUGAAGGAUGCUUAGCAGUAUUUGGUUUCCUCUAGGCCCUAAGCUUGUUAAAUGCUGUAGCUAAAUGUAGUCAGCAAGUUUUGUUUUGUUUUAUUUCCCCCUUCAGGCAGUAAGAGCUGAUCUCUGGUGCCUUCUGUUUAAGUGGAAUACUGUGAGCCCAUUUUUCCUUUAGGAACCCUAGUCUAAUGAUUGCCAACUUCUGAAUCUGAGCUCUCCACCAACUGGGAGCCUCAAUCCACUCUUUUACAUUUCUUUUUAUUCUCUUCUGUGGGCUACCCCAUAUCCUUCUAAUGAGUUCAUUUUACACUAUUAAUUUUUCCCUCAGUUCAGUAAAUAGCAACUCCAUUCUUCCAGAUGGUCAAACCAGAAACUUCCAAGUCAUCUUGGACUCCUUUUUCACAUGCUGUGACCUCCGGGUCCCUGCAGGAUACAAAUAGCAUACUAAAAGGGUAUCUGAGGAAAAUUCAAAAGAUUGUUUAGAAAUAUGUGGUCUGGUUGAGGGAAACUAGUAAGAAAUGGUGAAGUGCCCAAGAGGUAGCGGAAAGACUUUACUCCCUGUAGGCAGGAAGGAGCAUGGAGUGGGGAGGGUUUGCCAGAGCCAGCAAGAGCUAUAGCUAUGGGAGAUUGCUGCCUAACAGGAGAGAAGGGUAGUUUUUGCCAGACUGAAGGGUGGCAGGGAAGGAUCCAGGAGAAUAACCGUCCUGGUCUUGUUCUCCUCCUGCCCUCCAAUCUCCAGUUGUCUGAACCCAACCAAAGAAGGACAGGAGAAUGCAGGUGUGUGGUCUGUGGAGGUCAGACUUCCAGCCUAUGGGAGAGAAUGGAGUGUGGAUCUGAAGGGGCAAUCAGAGAACAUCUAUGCACUCUCACCAGCAAAUCUGUCAGCUCUACCUUGAAAUACAUCCAGAAUCCAACUCUCACUACCUCUUUCAUUACCUUCUUAGUCCAAGCCACGAUUUUUCACAUUGACGAUUGCAUUAGCCUCCCACCUCUAUCCCUCACUCAGUUUUUUAAAAAUGUUUAUUUUGAGAGAGAGACAGAGAGAGUGCAAUUGAGGGAGAGGCAGAGAAAUAGGGAGAAAGAGAAUCCCAAGCAGGCUCCUCGCUGUUAAUGCAGAGCCCUAUAUGGGGCUCAAACCCAUGAACCAUGAGAUCAUGACCUGAGCCAAAAUUAAGAAUCAGACACUUAACUGACUGAACCACAGAGGUGCCCCACCAGUUUUAUUUUUUUACAGCAUUUAUGACU